CCUACGGGAGGCAGCAGUGAGGAAUAUUGGACAAUGGGCGCAAGCCUGAUCCAGCCAUGCCGCGUGCAGGAAGAAGCAUCUAUGGUGUGUAAACUGCUUUUGUACAGGAAGAAACACUCCCUCGUGAGGGAGCUUGACGGUACUGUAAGAAUAAGGACCGGCUAACUCCGUGCCAGCAGCCGCGGUAAUACGGAGGGUCCGAGCGUUAUCCGGAAUCAUUGGGUUUAAAGGGUCCGUAGGCGGUUUAAUAAGUCAGUGGUGAAAUCUGGUCGCUCAACGAUCAAACGGCCAUUGAUACUGUUAGACUUGAAUUAUAAGGAAGUAACUAGAAUAUGUAGUGUAGCGGUGAAAUGCUUAGAUAUUACAUGGAAUACCAAUUGCGAAGGCAGGUUACUACUUAUGGAUUGACGCUGAUGGACGAAAGCGUGGGGAGCGAACAGGAUUAGAUACCCUGGUAGUCCACGCCGUAAACGAUGGAUACUAGCUGUUCGGAGCAAUCUGAGUGGCUAAGCGAAAGUGAUAAGUAUCCCACCUGGGGAGUACGUUCGCAAGAAUGAAACUNAAAUGAAUUGACCGGNGUGAGAGNGCGAGGACGACGACGAGGGAGGAGG
rnacentral:rRNA from 1 species